rnacentral:rRNA from 1 species
UACGAAGGGGGCUAGCGUUGCUCGGAAUCACUGGGCGUAAAGGGUGCGUAGGCGGGUUUUUAAGUCAGGGGUGAAAUCCUGGAGCUCAACUCCAGAACUGCCUUUGAUACUGGCGAUCUUGAGUCCGGGAGAGGUGAGUGGAACUCCGAGUGUAGAGGUGAAAUUCGUAGAUAUUCGGAAGAACACCAGUGGCGAAGGCGGCUCACUGGCCCGGUACUGACGCUGAUGUGCGAAAGCGUGGGGAGCAAACAGG